GAUCAUGGCUCAGGACGAACGCUGGCGGCGCGCCUAACACAUGCAAGUCGAACGGGGUUUACAGGCAGAAGUUUUCGGAUGGAAGCUUGUAGACUUAGUGGCGGACGGGUGAGUAACACGUGAGCAACCUGCCUAUCAGAGGGGGAUAAUGAUUGGAAACGAUCGCUAAUACCGCAUGACAUAGCGAAACCGCAUGGUUCUGCUAUCAAAGAUUUAUCGCUGAUAGAUGGG
rnacentral:rRNA from 1 species